AAUUUCCUGCGUACAGUGACCACUUGAUUUCAGUAUACAUCGAAGGGUAACUGACUAUAACAAUAUUAUAACAAUUAUCAUCCUCAGUAAAAGUGAAUCAGCUUUCCUGAUGUACUAAAUAAAAUUUCAUUCAUUUUAUAUAUUUAUACAUGUGACGUUCAAAACAUAUGGGGAUAUAUUAGGAUACGGUAAUACGAUUGUGUUUGAUUCAGAUAGAUUAGUCAUUAUAUGUUAAAACAAGGAAGUUAAUUACAGUCUGGGUGAUCAUGAACGCAGAUUAGCAUAAUAGACAACGCCUGUUAUUGAGAUAAGUUGUGACCAGUUAAAGCGGAUAUAACCCACAUAAGAAAGGAAGGGGAAUCCCAGGAAAUAGUCGGACUUAGAAAUGCACUAAAAGCUAUUAAGCAGCUAAAACUGGACAGAGAAAAGAAGUAUUCCAUAUAUCUUAUAAUAUUUGUGUCUAAAUAUUUUAUAUAAGAGUCACCGAGAAACAAUGAUCACAAUGUUCCAGUCAGUUUUACUUUUACUUAUUGUCCUCACUGUGAUUGGUCCUGCAUCUUCAUUGAAUGUUGAUGUUGAAAUUAACAACCUGAGUACACCGUUAACCAAUCUCCAGUUUCAUGACAACAAGUUCUAUAUUGGUGGUCAAGAUAACAUAUAUGUACUUGACAAGGAUUUGAGGCUAUAUCAGAAGGCAGAUACAUGCAAUAGUACAAAGAAAAGAUGUAACAAUGAGAAUAGUCUUCUAUUGGUCAGUGAUAAUAGUGCUGGAAAAUAUUUGAUAACUUGUGGAACUGGAUACUCUGGUAUUUGUGAAACUAGAAAUUUAACUGAGAUUCAAACUGUUAUUAUAAAUAAAACUCACAUGGUUUCAUCAGAUAUUGAUAGGCCAGUACAAGGAAUAGUUUCUGAUACAGAUGGAAAAGUGAUGCUGGCAGUGACAUUUGGUGAUGUUAUACCAA